rnacentral:rRNA from 1 species
AUACGUAGGGAGCGAGCGUUGUCCGGAAUUACUGGGUGUAAAGGGAGCGUAGGCGGGAUCGCAAGUCAGAUGUGAAAUACAUGGGCUUAACCCAUGGGCUGCAUUUGAAACUGUAGUUCUUGAGUGAAGUAGAGGUAAGCGGAAUUCCUGGUGUAGCGGUGAAAUGCGUAGAUAUCAGGAGGAACACCGGUGGCGAAGGCGGCUUACUGGGCUUUUACUGACGCUGAGGCUCGAAAGCGUGGGGAGCAAACAGGAUUAGAUACCCAGGUAGUCCACGCUGUAAACGAUGAUUACUAGGUGUGGGGGGACUGACCCCUUCCGUGCCGCAGUUAACACAAUAAGUAAUCCACCUGGGGAGUACGGCCGCAAGGUUGAAACUCAAAGGAAUUGACGGGG